UUUUUUUUUUCUUUUUGAGAUGAGACAGGGUCUUGCUCUGUUGCAUCUAGAGUGCAGUGGACUUUACACAUUUCUUUGACUUCUUUCUCUACUGGAUCAUGUGUUAUUGUAUAAUUUCUUUAAUAUAAUGACUGUGUGAUUAAACCCAGGGCAAGCCAGAGUCAAUAAAUCAGUUACAUGUAUGUGAUAUUGUUGAUACACAUUUUUAAAAUCACAUUUUAGAAAAUCAAAAAAUUAAGGCACUUUGCAAAUCCAAUCUACUUUUCUUUUAUAAAACAGGAAGGAAUAUUAGAAACACAGGAAGUUGAACAUCUUGAUAAAUGCCAAGAAAGAGACUGUGCCUUGGAGGAAAGGCUGGCAUGGAGCCAGUAUCCUUCUGUGCCCCUGGUGUCACCAGACCCAGGAUCAGAUCAAUGAGAAAGAAGGGAAAAGGGAAAUUAAAAGAAGCAGGAGAUAUGGAGAGGAACGAGAGAAAGAAGAGAAGGAAAAGGAGUUGAGAGGGAAGAGAAGAGAAAUUCACAGGUAGAAUUGGUGGCUGAGCUGUGGAGAAACUGCAAAGCGAGAGAAAGCCCUCCAACGCUGAAAUGCAAUAAGACUGCAUGACUCCAUCACAUGCUCAGCCCCAACCUUGCCCAUUUGGAUAAAGUGGAUUCCAUUUGGUAACGGUUGGCAGUAACUGUCAUUUCUGAAAUGCCGAGGGCCCACGUAUACAACAAGUUGACACCUUUAUAGUAGUAUUUAUAGCUCAGACACUUUAAAACAUGACUGUGGGCUGGGUACAGUGGCUCAUGUCUGUAAUCCUAGCUCUUUGGGAGUCUGAGGCAGGAGGAUCACUUGAGCCCAGGAGUUCGAGACCAGCCUGGGUGACCCAGUGAGAACUCAUCUCUACAAAAAAAAGGUAAAAAUUAGCUGGCCAUAGUGGCACAUGUCUAUAGUCCUAGCUACUAAGGAGGCUGAGGCAGGAGGAUCACUUGAGCCUGGGAGGUAGAGGCUGUAGGGAGCUGUGAUUGCACCACUGCACUCCAGCUGGACAGCAAAGUGAGAUACUGUAUCAAAAUAAAUAAAUAAAUACAUACAUACAUACACAAAUAAGUGAACCUGUGGUAGAGUAGAGAAUGUAGAGACAGAAGUUUAUGUGGCAGGAAGGGGGCAUGUGAUACCAGGCUAAACAAGAGGCCCAAGUGGAGGGACACAUAGGGCCAUGUAGGUGUCCUGUCAACUCCAUGGAAGAGGUUUCUGGGGAUGUCCCAGGCCAUGUUGCCUGAGUACCUGUCUGCCUGAGACUCAUUCUAUUCCUGAAAGUCUGCAACCAUCAGUUGUAUUCUUACAUUGAUUAUGGUUCAACGGUAUGGUUUCUCCAAAUAAAUGUCCUGGCCACCACUUAGAAAUGAUCCAUAAUUUCUUGUUUGGGUCUUAGUUUUUCCACUUAUACAAUUUUUUACUUAUUUUAUUUUUUAUCUGCUUCAUGGGCAUGUUAAUGUGUACGGUUAACAGGCAAUCAUUAGCAGUUACCAAGUGAAAGACAAAUGACAGAUGGAAUAUUUUGAUCUGUCCCACACAUGUUUCUUGGUGAAGGUAUUCAGGCCACUCCAGGGGCCAGUCUGGAAGCCUUAUCUGAUCAGGGUAGGGCAU
rnacentral:lncRNA from 1 species